UUGUUCCGAUCUACCUUUUCUUCCUGAUUCCUCGUAACGUGGUGUUUUCUGGGCGGCUUGUUGGGUUUGACACAACCGUCUGUAUCGUCGAAGGACAACCGUGCGGUGUUUCUUUGCCAACUCACGUAUUCAGUUCUGUCUACGGUAGGGUUAUAGCCCCCUUCCCAAUCGCACCUUCUCAUUUCGCUUCAACUGCAGAUCACGGUAGUACCCAAGGGCGUGACACUCUUUUAUAAAAAUAUUUCACGUGGUUUUAUAUUUUUUAUAUCUCUCUAUAUUUAUUUAUAAUUGUCUAUAAAAGUUAUAACUGUAUUCGAAUCGUUGAAAGUUCGAAAAUAAAAUUCGAGCACCCGUUACCAUAGUAGCCUUAGUUACCGCGAGUGAUUAUAAACAAAAAAAAUGGUGUUGCAUCAACAAGAAGUGGUAAGUAUCCAAAUAUUUUGCAUAAUUCUUGCUGAUUUGAGUUAGUAUCCGGCCCCAGACACUUAACCGAUCCUAACUAGAACCUGGGUACUAACGAGAACCAGCGAAAAUUGUUGGCUCAUUUUCUGACUGGACGUACUGGGACUCACCUGCGGUGGUUCUCCUGGUUAAGUGAAAUAGUAGCCAGACACCAAAAUGCAGUUUGGUCCAUUCCCAGUCUUGUUUUACAUUUACCUCUUUACCUCAAAACAGCUCUGUCUUAACACCGAUAGUGAUUAAGCCAUCCAAACGGAAACAAACAGCCACAAUUCCAGCGUUUUUCACCAACAUUUCACAGCUGCACCACAAAUUAGGAUUUUCCAUCAUCCGACUGGUCGGUAGCAAUAACGAUCAAGCGAUGCUUCUGCCAAAGGGUUUGACUCCAAUUCAACAGCCGCAACUAGUGCAAAUUCACAGGUGCAAACGAUGCAAGCCAAUCAGGAUCAAACACAGAUGACCAUUCGUCGCAGGAACAACCACAAACUAGAAUUAUCAUCACCCAGAUUCCGUAGUAGAUACAGCAACGGCACCUUCAGGUACAACAGCAGUAUACAAUACAGUCCCAAGCAGCAAAAACAUCACAAUCAGGAGGAACCACUGCAGCAGCCGCAACAAGAUUGAAUUGGCCACAAAUCGAUCUACAGCAGUAACGGAACAUACCCGGUCAACCGUAAACACAACAGCAAGGUGCUCGGCGGAAGGGAUUUCCGUAUUUGUGCGUGCGUAUGACUCGUUUUUGAAAAAAAGCACUUUCCUUCGAUUCUCUGGCACGCUACCGGGGAAAUCCAUUACCAUUAAGUUGAACGAGAACCAGGAAUGAGUCCUUCGGGGAGACGACGCGUAAUGGUUGAUGUUGGUGGAAUUGCAGAUCACGCUCUGAAAAUAUCGCAAACUAUAUCCCCCUCAGCAGCACGCAACCCCGACACGAAAGAUGAUACGCAAAGCCCCUGUAAAACAACGACAGCCCGUUAAUAUUUAGCAUAGCAUAAAAAGCCUAGUACUUAGAAGAUAGACGGCACAUAAUAGCAAGUCAGUCCCAUGUUCUGUACUAUCGCUAUACGCAUAAUUGUUCCAUGUGCUAUGGAAUUUUCGAUGCACAUCACAUUAACCUUUAAAUGCAUGAAACUUAUUUUCAUUGGUAUUCAUUUUUCGGUAUGGAUGCGAUAUUUACCUCUUGUUGAGGCUUAAUAUUACAGGAUUCGGUAUGUUGCCAAAUGACAACAGUAUGCAUUUAAGGGUUCAGUAAAAAAACAUCAAGAAAAUGAGAUAACAAUAAAUAGUCCUUACCGUUAUCGUAAUUUGCUGUAACUGAUGACGUUUGCAGCAUUACGUAACCAACAAAGUAGUGUUUUGCCUAGAAAAGUCCCUCAAUCUUUCACACAGAAAAAAGA